rnacentral:rRNA from 1 species
UACGUAGGGUCCGAGCGUUGUCCGGAAUUACUGGGCGUACAGAGCCCGUAGGUGGCUUGUCGCGUCUGCCGUGAAAGCCCAUGGCUUAACUAUGGGUCUGCGGUGGAUACGGGCAGGCUAGAGGCUGGUAGGGGCAAGCGGAAUUCCUGGUGUAGCGGUGAAAUGCGCAGAUAUCAGGAGGAACACCGGUGGCGAAGGCGGCUUGCUGGGCCAGUUCUGACGCUGAGGAGCGAAAGCGUGGGGAGCGAACAGG